GAUGAACGCUGGCGGCGUGCUUAACACAUGCAAGUCGAACGAUGAAGCCAGGUUUCUUGGCGGACUAGUGGGUAACGGGUGGGUAACUCCUGUGUAAUCCGGCCUUAACCCCGGGAAAAGGCCGGGAAACCGGGUCUUAUACCCGGAAGGAGGCUUCACCGCCUUGGGGGGGUUGGGAAGUUUUUUCGGUUUUUGAUGGAAUUGCGGCCUAUCAGAUUGUUGGUGAGGUAAUGGCCUAACAAGGCGACGACCGGUAGCCGGCCUGAGAGGGGGACCGGACACACUGGGACUGAGACACGGCCCAGACUCCUACGGGAGGCAGCAGUGGGGAAUAUUGCACAAUGGGCGCAAGCCUGAUGCAGCGACGCCGCGUGAGGGAUGACGGCCUUCGGGUUGUAAACCUCUUUCAGUAGGGAAGAAGCGAAAGUGACGGUACCUGCAGAAGAAGCACCGGCUAACUACGUG
rnacentral:rRNA from 1 species